rnacentral:rRNA from 4 species
UCCUACGGGAGGCAGCAGUGGGGAAUAUUGGACAAUGGGCGCAAGCCUGAUCCAGCCAUGCCGCGUGUGUGAAGAAGGCCUUUUGGUUGUAAAGCACUUUAAGCGAGGAGGAGGCUUACCUGGUUAAUACCUGGGAUAAGUGGACGUACUCGCAGA